rnacentral:tRNA from 1 species
GCGCGAGUAGUGGAGUCUGGCCUACCACGCAGCCGUGCCAUGGCUGAAACAGGUGUUCGAAUCACCUCUCGCGCA